GAUGAACGCUAGCGGCAGGCCUAACACAUGCAAGUCGAGGGGUAGAGGAAGCUUGCUUCCUUGAGACCGGCGCACGGGUGCGUAACGCGUAUGCAAUCUACCUUGUACUGAGGGAUAGCCCAGAGAAAUUUGGAUUAAUACCUCAUAGCAUUAUGAAAUCGCAUGGUUUUAUAAUUAAAGUUCCAACGGUACAAGAUGAGCAUGCGUCCCAUUAGUUAGUUGGUAAGGUAACGGCUUACCAAGACAAUGAUGGGUAGGGGUCCUGAGAGGGAGCUCCCCCACACUGGUACUGAGACAAGGACCAGACUCCUACGGGAGGAAGAAGGGAGGAAUAGGGGUGAAUGGACGCAAGUCUGAACCAGCCAUGCCGCGUGCAGGAGGAAGCAUCUAUGGUGUGUAAACUGCUUUUAUACGGGAAGAAACACUCCUACGUGUAGGAACUUGACGGUACCGUAAGAAUAAGGAUCGGCUAACUCCGUGCCAGCAGCCGCCGUAAUAC
rnacentral:rRNA from 1 species